rnacentral:rRNA from 1 species
AGAGUUUGAUCCUGGCUCAGAACGAACGCUGGCGGCAGGCCUAACACAUGCAAGUCGAACGAUGCCUUCGGGCAUAGUGGCGCACGGGUGAGUAACACGUGGGAACAUACCUUUUGGUGGGGGAUAACUUCGGGAAACUGAAGCUAAUACCGCAUACGCCCCUUGGGGGAAAGAUUUAUCGCCGAAAGAUUGGCCCGCGUCCGAUUAGCUAGUUGGUGAGGUAAUGGCUCACCAAGGCUCCGAUCGGUAGCUGGUCUGAGAGGAUGACCAGCCACACUGGGACUGAGACACGGCCCAGACUCCUACGGGAGGCAGCAGUGGGGAAUAUUGGACAAUGGGCGCAAGCCUGAUCCAGCCAUGCCGCGUGAGUGAUGAAGGCCUUAGGGUUGUAAAGCUCUUCACCCACGACGAUGAUGACGG